rnacentral:rRNA from 1 species
GAAUAGAUACCCUGGUAGUCCACGCCCUAAACGAUGCGAACUGGAUGUUGGGUACAUUACGGUACUCAGUGUCGAAGCUAACGCGUUAAGUUCGCCGCCUGGGGAGUACGGUCGCAAGACUGAAACUCAAAGGAAUUGACGGGGGCCCGCACAAGCGGUGGAGUAUGUGGUUUAAUUCGAUGCAACGCGAAGAACCUUACCUGGCCUUGACAUCUGUCGAAUCCUGCAGAGAUGCGGGAGUGCCGCAAGGAACGACAAGACAGGUGCUGCAUGGCUGUCGUCAGCUCGUGUCGUGAGAUGUUGGGUUAAGUCCCGCAACGAGCGCAACCCUUGUCCCUAGUUGCCAGCACGUAAUGGUGGGAACUCUAGGGAGACUGCCGGUGACAAACCGGAGGAAGGUGGGGAUGACGUCAAGUCCUCAUGGCCCUUACGGCCAGGGCUACACACGUACUACAAUGGUCGGUACAGAGGGUUGCGAAGCCGCGAGGUGGAGCCAAUCCCAGAAAACCGAUCCCAGUCCGGAUCGGAGU